AGAAGGUAGAGGUCAGGUGAGAAUAAAGAACUGAGAAGGUAGAGGUCAGGUGAGAACUGAGAAGGUAGAGGUCAGGUGAGAACUGAGAAGGUAGAGGUCAGGUGAGAAUAAAGAACUGAGAAGGUAGAGGUCAGGUGAGAAUAAAGAACUGAGAAGGUAGAGGUCAGGUGAGAACGGAGGAGGUAGAGGUCAGGUGAGAAUAAAGAACAGAGAAGGUAGAGGUCAGGUGAGAAUAAAGAACUGAGAAGGUAGAGGUCAGGUGAGAAUAAAGAACGGAGAAGGUAGAGGUCAGGUGAGAAUAAAGAACAGAGAAGGUAGAGGUCAGGUGAGAAUAAAGAACUGAGAAGGUAGAGGUCAGGUGAGAAUAAAGAACAGAGGAGGUAGAGGUCAGGUGAGAAUAAAGAACUGAGAAGGUAGAGGUCAGGUGAGAAUAAAGAACUGAGAAGGUAGAGGUCAGGUGAGAAUAAAGAACGGAGAAGGUAGAGGUCAGGUGAGAAUAAAGAACUGAGGAGGUAGAGGUCAGGUGAGAAUAAAGAACUGAGAAGGUAGAGGUCAGGUGAGAAUAAAGAACUGAGAAGGUAGAGGUCAGGUGAGAAUAAAGAACUGAGAAGGUAGAGGUCAGGUGAGAAUAAAGAACAAAGAAGGUAGAGGUCAGGUGAGAACUGAGAAGGUAGAGGUCAGGUGAGAAUAAAGAACUGAGAAGGUAGAGGUCAGGUGAGAAUAAAGAACUGAGAAGGUAGAGGUCAGGUGAGAACUGAGAAGGUAGAGGUCAGGUGAGAAUAAAGAACUGAGAAGGUAGAGGUCAGGUGAGAAUAAAGAACGGAGAAGGUAGAGGUCAGGUGAGAACGGAGAAGGUAGAGGUCAGGUGAGAAUAAAGAACUGAGGAGGUAGAGGUCAGGUGAGAAUAAAGAACUGAGAAGGUAGAGGUCAGGUGAGAAUAAAGAACUGAGGAGGUAGAGGUCAGGUGAGAAUAAAGAACUGAGAAGGUAGAGGUCAGGUGAGAAUAAAGAACUGAGGAGGUAGAAGUCAGGUGAGAUUAAAGAACUGAGGAGGUAGAGGUCAGGUGAGAAUAAAGAACUGAGGAGGUAGAGGUCAGGUGAGAAUAAAGAACUGAGAAGGUAGAGGUCAGGUGAGAAUAAAGAACAGAGAAGGUAGAGGUCAGGUGAGAACAGAGAAGG